rnacentral:rRNA from 1 species
CAGCCGUAAACUAUGCGCGUUAGGUGUAUCGGUGACCACGAGUUACCGAGGUGCCGAAGGGAAACCGUGAAACGUGCCGCCUGGGAAGUACGGUCGCAAGGCUGAAACUUAAAGGAAUUGGGCGGGGGAGCACCACAACGGGUGGAGCCUGCGGUUUAAUUGGACUCAACGCCGGGAAGCUCACCGGAUAAGACAGCGGAAUGAUUGCCGGGCUGAAGACUCUGCAUGACUAGCUGAGAGGAGGUGCAUGGCGUAGACGUCU